ACCUGGGUGGCUUAGUCAGUUGAGCAUCUGACUUCGGCUCAGGUCAUGAUCCCAUGGUUCGUGGGUUCAAGCCCCACAUCAGGCU
rnacentral:tRNA from 1 species